CCUACGGGAGGCAGCAGUGGGGAAUAUUGGACAAUGGGGGCAACCCUGAUCCAGCCAUGCCGCGUGUGUGAAGAAGGCCCUCGGGUUGUAAAGCACUUUCAGUGAGGAAGAACGCCUGGUGGUUAAUACCCAUCAGGAAAGACAUCACUCACAGAAGAAGCACCGGCUAACUCCGUGCCAGCAGCCGCGGUAAUACGGAGGGUGCGAGCGUUAAUCGGAAUUACUGGGCGUAAAGCGCGCGUAGGUGGCUUGAUAAGCCCGUUGUGAAAGCCCCGGGCUCAACCUGGGAACGGCAUCCGGAACUGUCAAGCUAGAGUGCAGGAGAGGAAGGUAGAAUUCCCGGUGUAGCGGUGAAAUGCGUAGAGAUCGGGAGGAAUACCAGUGGCGAAGGCGGCCUUCUGGACUGACACUGACACUGAGGUGCGAAAGCGUGGGUAGCAAACAGGAUUAGAUACCCUAGUAGUC
rnacentral:rRNA from 1 species